GUGGACGAAAGGUGCAAACGCAUAGAAAGAUCUGCGUUUUCAAAAAUACCCGGGUACGUGUGGACGUAGCCUGAGCAUGCACCAGUUUAUUGUAUUUCCAGACUUGCUUUCGGCACAAUUUACAGUGCACGCUACUCUGUUUUUUGUCAGACUUGAAAUAGCCGAAAUACCUUCACACUACGGAACUUCUAUGGCUCUUCCGUUCGACAAUCUCUCCGGCAUUGGAACCAUCAUCUGUUUUCUCUUCGGUAACCUUCGGUCACGCUCGGUUGAUUUUUCUAGUCGGCACACUCAUUUCCUCCAUUACCCGGGCGGUACGGUGGCUGGCUGCUUCCCAAACGGCUUGGCACUUGUGCUGUACGUAACAAGUCACGUGACGUGACGCUGCGGCUGUGAUUGGUUCGGCUCUGCGCUACUUAAUUUGGAUUGGCUGGGGUUUUUUUUGUUUGUUUUUUUGUUUUUUAAGAGGACAAGAGCGGCGAGGUCUAUCGCGAUAGUUGAAUUUUUCUAUCGAGAAAAAGUUAUAUCGCGAUACAUAUCGUUAUCGUUCUAUCGCCCAGCUCUAGUUUCAACGUAACUUUAUUCUUUCAUGAGUUAUUUACAAGUUUCUCACCACUUAUAAAAUGUGUUCAAUGUGCUGCCCAUUGUGUUGGAUUGUCAAUGCAACCCUCUUCUCCCACUCUUCACACACUAAUCGCAACACCGCAGGAGAAAUGCCAGCACAGGCAUCCAGUAUCCGUAGUUUCAGGUGCUGCACAUCUCGUAUCUUCACACCAUAGACAAUUGCCUUCAGAUGACCCCAAAGAUAAAAGUCUAAGGGGGUCAGAUCGGGAGACCUUGGGGGCCAUUCAACUGGCCCACGAUGACCAAUCCACUUUCCAGGAAACUGUUCAUCUAGGAAUGCUCGGACCUGGCACCCAUAAUGUGGUGGUGCACCAUCUUGCUGGAAAAACUCAGGGAACGUGCCAGCUUCAGUGCAUAAAGAGGGAAACACAUCAUCAUAUAGCAAUUUCAAAUAUCCAGUGGCCUUGAGGUUUCCAUUGAUGAAGAAUGGACCCACUAUGGUUGUACCCCAUAUACCACACCAAACCAUCACUUUUGUUGUUCCAACAGUCUUGGAGGGA
ensembl:lncRNA